ensembl:lncRNA
GGACACGAGUCCCGCUGCCCAACGUCCCCAUUGGCCAAAGCGCUGUCCCCGGGGCAAUGGGGUGACGCUGAAACGCCUCCAACCCCUUCGCCGUGCCCUCGAGGUGCUCCUGGAGGAGCCGUUCCUUACGCGAGGGCUCUUCUCCAUCCUCCGGUCGUGCUCGGCUCCCACUGCUACCCGUGAGGCUUUCAUUAGGCUGAGCCCACCCAUUCAAUCCUGUAGAGGCGUGCUGCCAGCAGUGCUGUAAUAUCCAUCGAGGGCCACCCAGAGGUUGUCCAAGAAGGAAACGCAACUAUUUCCAACUGAGCUCGGAGUCACGUCAAAGAUUUAAUUGGGAAGUUCAAAGGAAGCGUCGGAGGCUCUUUUGAUCUCUGAGUG